UACGUAGGGACCAAGCGUUGUCCGGAAUCAUUGGGCGUAAAGAGCGUGUAGGCGGCUUGUUAAGUCUUGCGUGAAAUCUCGGGGCUCAACCCCGAGCGGUCGUGAGAAACUGGCAGGCUAGAGUGCGGGAGAGGAGAGUGGAAUUCCUGGUGUAGCGGUGAAAUGCGCAGAUAUCAGGAAGAACACCUAUGGCGAAGGCAGCUCUCUGGGACGGUACUGACGCUGAGACGCGAAAGCGUGGGGAGCGAACAGG
rnacentral:rRNA from 1 species